rnacentral:rRNA from 2 species
AACGAUGAAACUUAGUAGACUUCUUCGGAAAGACACUAAGCGGAUUAGUGGCGAACGGGUGAGUAACGCGUGAGUAACCUGCCUUACACAAGGGGAUAGCCUUUGGAAACGAAGAAUAAUACCCUAUAAAACCAUAAAAGCACAUGCUAGAAUAGUCAAAGUGAUAGCGGUGUAAGAUGGACUUGCGUCUGAUUAGCUAGUUGGUGAGAUAAAAGCUCACCAAGGCAACGAUCAGUAGCCGGCUUGAGAGAGUGUACGGCCACAUUGGGACUGAGACACGGCCCAGACUCCUACGGGAGGCAGCAGUGGGGAAUUUUGUACAAUGGGGGAAACCCUGAUGCAGCGACGCCGCGUGAUUUAGAAGGCCUUCGGGUUGUAAAAAUCUUUUGUAUAGGAAGAAAAUGACAGUACUAUACGAAUAAGGUCCGGCUAAUUAUGUGCCAGCAGCCGCGGUAAUACGUAAGGACCGAGCGUUGUCCGGAAUCAUUGGGCGUAAAGGGUACGUAGGCGGCUAGAAAAGUUAGAAGUCAAAGGCUAUAGCUCAACUAUAGUAAGCUUCUAAAACUAUUUAGCUUGAGAAAUGGAAGGGAAAGUGGAAUUCCUAGUGUAGCGGUGGAAUGCGCAGAUAUUAGGAAGAAUACCGGUGGCGAAGGCGACUUUCUGGCCAUUAUCUG